rnacentral:lncRNA from 1 species
GACAGGAUGAAUUCUCUCACUGACGAUCCGACGAUGAAGAUGGACACGGCACACUGUGCACUAAAUUAUGGACGAAUACACAACUCACGCGCACGCUGCACCGAUCCUUAUCAGAGGGAAGCCAAGGAGGGCACGGCGGCCAUUGGAGGGAGAGGAGGCUGUUUUGUUUGGUUUAUUUGAAUGAGAGGAAGCACUUAGGGCUGUUUUCAUCUCAUUGUUGUGCAAGGCUACACUUGUGGCAGCACUGACACACAGAUGCAGCCCUGCAGUCACUGAACUGAUUAUUGGCGAGCUGUGUGUGUGUGUGUGUGUGUGUGUGUGUGUGUGUGUGUGUGUGUGUGUGUGCGCGUGUGUGCGUGUGUGUGUGUGUGAGACCUGCGUUAACGCAACCUGAUACCUUUGUCACAAUAGACACAGGUGUGCAUGUGUGCGACGACAUAAUUUGUUGAGUGUGUGUGUGUGUCUGAGUCAGUGUGUGUGUGAGCGUGUUUGGGAGUGGGAGGAGAGGGGAAAAGGGGAGGCGGGGGUGAGCCCUCAUGUUGUAUUUCAAGUUCACCCAGAGUUCCCACGCUGUUAUUUUCUGCACGGCUGUCUUUGUUCUACCGGUCUCAUCACAUGUUGUGAUUAGCAGGGCCUUUCAGGGGCCGCCUUUGAAGCGAGAGGAAGCCACCUCUAAUUCUACUCCAGAUGUGUGUGACACCCAACUAUUGUGCUACGGUCCGAGGCGAGGGACGGAGGGAGACAUGGACAUUGCAGCCUGUGGAGAGGAGGGACCCUGAGAGGGAUUGGAACCAACAGAGCAACAUUUACGCUGACUGGAUCUGCUGUGGGGAUGUGACCUCCUGUGGGAGGACCUGCUCGGCUUGCUGCUGUGGUGGCUGCUAGAGUUGGGACGUUUGGCAGGUGCUGGGCCCGCGGAUGGCAGAACCCAACCCGGUAGUGCUUCGGGGAGCAGGUAAGCUCUGCGGCGCCUGAUGCUGACUUGUCCAUGAUCUUCUUAGGUUGCAGUCGGUGUUGGAGGGCGAGCCUGGGUGGAAGGAUUGCUGGGUUUUGGAUUGAUUUCGGGCCAAAACAUUAGCAAGCAGGACCCAAAGGUUCUUUUAAGGGUUUUGACUCUGCAGCAGUAGUACAAAGCAAUGCAGCACAAUAGUAAUAAACACUUUAAUAGUAUAGCUGGUUGCUUUAUGGUUAGGGUCAGAUUCUUUGAUUGUCAUAUCGUUAUCUUCCUGGCCUGCUGGAAAGAAACUUGCUAAGGGGAGAAGGUAGCUUGGAGGGUCCGCUUUCACAUGCGGAUUAAUAAAGGCUGGUGCCUCGGGGGCCAUUGGGGCUGUCUAAAUAUAAACGUGAGCGUCUGGUCGCUGCCCUGAAGAAGCACGUGGCAAAGGCCUGGAGUGUGACUCACUAAUUGGUAAAAAUGUGGACACUAAAGCAGCUUAAAGAUCACAUUACCAUGACGGAGGUGAGCUGGACGGUUCGCCGGCCUCUUGCACACCUGACACUUGCUCCAGACGUCAGGAUGGAGGCAUAAAUGUCGCAGGAUCACGUCUGGACUACAGGAAACUCAGAAGACUUUGCUGCCCUUCAUCUGCAGAUCUCUGCAGACUUCUGAUGAUCCUCUAAUCCCAAGUCUGGAACAGUUGAUACGUGCAUCCAGCAGGUGGAUGCCGAGCACUUAGGUCGGCAUCUGGAAAUAUACCUGUCAUGAAUAUUCAUCAGAGGCCCAGAGCGGUCCCGACUAAUCGGAAGGCAACGGUGAGAGUUGAGCAGCUGGUUUUGUCGGGGCCUGGGCGCGACCCACGUCUGGAAUGGGUGAAACUCCUGGUGGGUGGUCACUGCGAACAGAGAAGGAGAGAAACCCAGAACAAAGGCGGCAUUUAACUUUCAUCUCAGCUUGAGGUGAUUAUUCGCUUUGAGUCUGACCCAGUCACACUUUCGCGCUGGCCUCUUGGCCUUGGAAAACUGUGGAUUUCGUCUUUUGACAUUUAGACGUGCAGCCAGGAGCCCGAAGGACAAGCGCGGCAGCCGGGAUUCACGUAAGGUUAACCUGCUGGAAUGUGACAGGAGUCAGAAGUCGCGUCAGAAGUCACGUCAGAAGUCCGUAGUUCCCGCCUUGAGAAUCGCUCAGAUCGUAUCUUGUGAUAUAGCUGCUUUCGGCCUGACGUGAGGCGAUAAUGAGAACGUGUUGGUUCCAGACUUUCACGCAAACACACUCCUGACACACACACACACACACACACCCAAUCACCCACCUUUACUCACUAAUUCGAUAACGAGCCCGAACAGUCGUGACAUGUUUUAACGUUUGACAUUUGGCCUCCCGAAAAACAGAGCUGGAGGAGAGAAUGAGCCUCCCGUCAGCGUCCUUCCAAUCUGGGGAGAAAGCCACCGCCCCCCCCCCCCCCCCCCUGCGGUGAGGGGUUACUGGUCCUCUGACCCUGGUAAUGAUGGAGGGUCAGGAGUCAGGUUGUUUGAAGGAACCAUCUACGUCUGCAGAGCGCGUGAGGAGCGCCUGGGAACCAGAGCUCAGCAUGUGAGCCCGUGAAAUUGAUCUCUCCACAGGGGACAAGUGGUGUGUAUUUAUUUUUAUGUGAGGUUGUGUGUGUGUGUGUGUGUGUGUGUGUAGGAGGGGCACGGCCGCAACAGGAGACGCAGCAGCGGAAAUGGCAGAUCUCUGCGGUCGGACUGUCGCUGGGUGACCUGGGCAGCUCGUCUGCCCGCCUGUCUGCAGCGGGACCGACGGUGACAGCGGACGGAAAACAUUCGUCUGAGGUGACGGGGAAAAAAAGUCCCAUCUGCUUCUCUCAUCAAACUGGUUCUCGCUCUCGUUCUUGACUACUUCAAAGACAUGUAUUGUCUGUAAAUAAAGAUUUACAACAGCUCCUAAAACCCAAAGAGCCCCUAUUGUCUGUUGCUCCACGGUUUCAGAUGGAACGUCGGCGCUAAAGAACCGACACAAAGUGAAAACCUUCCGCAUCGACAGCUGAGCUCUGCCCAAAUUAGCGUCAUGAGCCGCACUUUGACACCAGGAAUCUGCCGAGAUGACAGCGUCGAGCACGGUUCGGGUCAACGAAGCCAGCACAGGCUGUGGCGCAUCCUCCCAGUGACGCAAUGGUUGUCGGUUCAAUACCGGACCCUUGCAAUGCCGCCCAUUAAUGCAGCCUCCUCAAGAACAUGUGGACAUAAAUGUAAUGAAGCUUGUUGCUCCCUAUAGAGGUGAAAACACAUCUGUGUGUGUGUGUGUGUGUGUGUGUGUGUGUGUGUGUGUGUGUGUGUGUGUGUGUGUGUGUGUGUGUGUGUGUGUGUGUGAGUACCGCUGAGACUGGCCCCUCCAGCGAAGGCUUCCUCUUCAUCUCCUGCAUCUGCUGCUCCCCUCGGCGCUCCGAGGCCAAACCGCCGCUGUCUGUGCGUCUGCUCGGCCCGUUUGGAUGCGACCGCUUCCGCCGUGUCUGCAGGCACGUCGUGGCAGCUAUGAAACCGAUCCGUUUAAUCACAGGGGGAUCUUGGGAGCUUUCUCGUCUGGCUGUUGCCUCGCAGAGGAUUUGAACAGACAUUUCGAAACAAUCAAAUCUAUUAGUUGGGACUUCUGCUGUCUGAUCCCUCGCCGCAGACACGCCCGAUUCACAAAAUCCC